rnacentral:lncRNA from 1 species
AGACAGCAGCUGCAGCGAUGUCUCCUUUGAGAGCACGCCGGCCAGACCUCAGGAACCAUUUUGGAAGCAUUUGUCCUGACAGGCUCAGCUGUUUCCACCAACAGUGGCUGAGCAAGUUUGCCACUUGGAUCCUUGCUUUGAGAGAAGAGAAUGCUUUCUCA